CCGACUAUAGCUCAGCUGGUAGAGCGGGAGACUGUAGUAUGUUUAGAAAUCUCUAGGUCACUGGUUCGACUCCGGUUGGUCGGA
rfam:Perkinsela sp. CCAP 1560/4 XT18scaffold_5787, whole genome shotgun sequence.